GACGAACGCUGGCGGCGUGCCUAAUACAUGCAAGUCGAGCGAAGUUUUUCUGGUGCUUGCACCGGAAAAACUUAGCGGCGAACGGGUGAGUAACACGUAAAGAACCUGCCUCAUAGACUGGGACAACUAUUGGAAACGAUAGCUAAUACCGGAUAAUAGCAUUACCUGCAUGGUUGAUGUUUAAAAGUUGGUUUUGCUAACACUAUGAGAUGGCUUUGCGGUGCAUUAGCUAGUUGGUGGGGUAAAGGCCUACCAAGGCGACGAUGCAUAGCCGACCUGAGAGGGUGAUCGGCCACACUGGGACUGAGACACGGCCCAGACUCCUACGGGAGGCAGCAGUAGGGAAUCUUCCGCAAUGGGCGAAAGCCUUACGGAGCAACGCCGCGUGAGUGAAGAAGGAUUUCGGUUCGUAAAGCUCUGUUGUUAGGGAAGAAUGAUUGUGUAGUAACUAUACACAGUAGAGACGGUACCUAACCAGAAAGCCACGGCUAACUACGUG
rnacentral:rRNA from 1 species